ACUGACACCCGCAAGAAGCAAGACCCCGGCACCGUACUGCGUGCGCGCUGGGAAUCCUCGUGGGCGCUCUGGCCGCGCGAGCAGUGUCGGCGCCACGGGUCAAGGAGACAAGGUGGGGGUGGCAGGGGGAGGUGAAAGGAAGGAUGCGAGAUGAAGACACGGAGCAGGAGGGCUGAGGGCGAGGCUUCCGCCUGCAUUCCCCGACUUCGCGGUCCGAGAGGCCGAGAGCGGCGGGGAGGGGACUUCGUUGGCCCUGGGCUUCCCCGAACUCCCGAGCGCGGCGCGGGAGCCCUCGCCCUGCGUACUUACUGCUCACGGUCUGUCUGAAACUUGGCUGACUGGGGCUCUGUCCAUGGAGCAAAAGUAGAGAAUCCAGGGUGGAAAGUUUCUGGUGCUUGGCUUUGCAGUGUUCUCCUAGUCUUCCUCUUUACUCCUUCCCCUUCCCUCUUCCCCAGGUCCUAAUGUUUAAGGUCCUGGGUCAGGGUGUCUUCUUCUGGUGCGGAGAUGGUUGUUAUGAUGAUGAUGGGGGGAGGGAGGAGGGGGAGGAGGAGGAGAGGGAAAGGACUCCUCCAAAGGGACACCCGAGCGAGCGGGGGAGGGGACGGCGGAGGAGGGGGGAAGAGAAGGAGGCUGAAAGAGCCUUUUCACACCUUCGGGAAGGAGACCCGUUCUGGAGAGAAAGGGCUGAGAACCCGGAGGCGGCGGCGGCGGCGGCGAGCCGGGGCUGCUGGUUCGCAGGGCGGCUAGCUCGCGAGGAGGCGCGGCCAGAGCGGUGGGACCGGUAACACCAAGAGCCGAGAAGACGCAGGGACCCGGGACCGCGCGCGGGAGGAAACGCGGCGGCCGCCCAAGCUGUCACCUCCAGCCUCUCCCCUCUCGGCCGCCUCUGCCAGCAGCCAGAGCCGGACUCACUGACAAGCCGCAGAGAGAGACACACUGAGAGGGAGAUGAUUAUUAGUUGCGUUGAGUCAUCAGGCAAAGUGAGUCCUUUUGGGUUGUCCUCGGUUUCCGAUUUCUCCCCCUCCCCCUUUCGGUCCCCAGAUCUAGCGCCUUCAAAAUAAUAAUUUGGGGUGGGGGUAGGGGAAGUCUCUGGAUUAUUUCGGGAUGGGGGUGGGGGGGAUGGAUCUAAACCCAAGCCAGACUGGUCCACCGCAAGAAAAGAGGGGAGUGGGGGGCGGGGAGGAGGGCUGGGGAGGUUGCGGGGGGAGGGGGGCCCCGCCUGGCAGGAAAUUAAACAUCAAUCAAUCAAUCGCUGUGAGCACGGCGACCCAACGGCGGCGGGGCUGCGAAGGAGGCAGAGGGACAGGCGAGGGGCGGGUGGGAGGCAGGGAGGAGGGAAGAGGAAGGGGAGAGUCGGCGGUCGGAGCGGGGUGACGAGGACCUCAUGCACGAGGCGGCGAAGGACCGAUGGCAGAGAACCGAGUGCGGCGCGAGGCGGUGGCCGCGGCCAGCGGGUGGGUGCGUCUGGGCGCAGGCGGGCACCGGGGCCCAGGGUCUGGUCCUCCUCCUUGUGGCGGGUCCAGGGCGCGGCCGCCUCGCCCAGCCCCUAGGCGCACUCGUCCCGGCGCGGAGGCGGCGGCGACAAGGCAGUCGCUGGGUGCCGCGUCUGCCGGCGGAGACGCAGACCGACGCGCAAGAGGCGACCGCGGCUGCCUCGGCUCCCAGCUCUGUUAACUGCGCGGAGUACUUUCGACUUUGGAGAUAGGAGGGCGAUCGCCUCCCCCACCCACCGCCUCCGCCCACCACCCACCGCCUCCGCCCCUCCGAGCAACUUUUCCCGGUGCCUGCGAGCUCCCCCUCCGCGCCGAGCCGAACGUCCCGGCCCGCCGCGCUUCGUGCCGCCGCGCGCGCAGGGAAGGCCGCUUCUCCUUCAAAGCUGGCACGGCCGCGAGUCCGGAACAAUAGUCGGGGUGUCCCGAAUGCCAGGAGCACGGCCACUGCCCGCCGGGCUGUGGGUGGCACAGGAAUGGGGGUUGCGUGGUGGAUGCAGAGCGGGGUGCAUCCCUGGAUGGCAUCGCUGGAGCGCUCGCCGCUCCGGCGACAUCGCGAGCGGUGCAAACCGGGCCGCCUGGAGCCCGUGACGCGGUGGCGGCGAGGGCGGUGGGGCUGCCUGUCCUCGGGCUACAGGACUGGGGCUCCUGGGGACCCCAAGCUGCUCGAGCCCAGGGCUGCUGGCGCCAACAGAGCUGUGCCCUGAGGACCCGGCCUCCCCGCCCGGGGGGAGGCCGCACAGGAGCGUCCCCAGCAGGUCCCGCGAAGGCGUAACAGAGCCACAAACUUUUGCCGACUCCCGCGGCCGCGGCCGCCGGCAGCCCGACUCCGGCCGCGGUGCUCAUUUAAGGUGGCGCGGGCACUAGCCGAGCAGGCUGGCCUCUGGCCGCGCUUUUGUCCCUGCGAUUCCGCUUGGGCGCGCUGCCUCCUUAAGGAAAAGCACGUGGGCAGGGGCCGCAGCCCCCGCGAGAUACCCGGGGCGUCGGCGGACAUUAGCCGCUAGGACCUUAGGCGAGAAAAUGUGGACGCAUCCCCGCCGGCCCUGAGGCCAGAGAAUCCCCCCUCAACUGGUUGCACCUCAUGUCCCUCCCGCACACGUUGACUCUCCCUCCUAAUCCCCAGGACCCCGAGGGCUCUCCCACAUCUCCCGCAGCAAGAGCCACCGAUCCCCCUUAAGAAGCGUUGACUGUACGGCGGCGCCAGAGGGCCAAACUAAGUUCGGUUUCGGGAAACGCUCUCGGGAGCAGUUCUGUAAAUCCCUGCUGGGAGCAGAGACUGCGAAAAGCUGAGUCCGCCGAUCGUGCCCGGGACAAGGCUGCCUUCCACUCGCCCUCGCCGCAUCUACCUGGUAGGCGGCAUGCGCACGGGCUUAGAGGCUUGAGAGCCUCUGGAAGAGAAAGGGUCCCAGGAAGGAAACCUGCCCCCGGCCUAAGUGUCGGCGCCCAGAUCACCACGAACCCCGCACCUAGGCGCCGCCCACCAAGUUCCAAAGAAGUCCGAGGCGACCUGGGAGUCGGUCGGAUCCCAGCCGAGAAAAGAAACAAGCAGGAUAGCAAUUCUUAGGGGAGCCACCCUGGGAGUUUUAGGCAGCGUUUGCCUUUCCCUGGUUUUCUUCACCAAGCCCCAUCCUCCCCCCGCAUACCACCCCCAGUCAAAAGAGUGGGAGAAAAUGCACAGUUCGAAGUCGGUGAGAGCAAAAAUGGGUCUAGUAAAUCAACCCGUGGUGGUAGCUAAAAGGUUUGGGGCUGCAAAGAAACAAACUGUAAGUUUUGAGCAACAAACUUUUUCUUCAAUCUGUAAUAUGUCGAAAUGGGAAGGGGGUGUUGCAAAAGCCAACUACCACUGUCAAACUUAGCCCGUUUACAACAUGGGGAAAGGCGUAUUUCUUACUAAUAUCUCAACAACGAUAACAAUGCUGUAUCCUUCCUUACCUUGAUGUUGAACUGCGAAUCCUCCUCCGGAUCAAUGUCCAGGAACUUAGAAGAAUUGGUGAUAUUAGGAGUUCAGUACUUCUGGAAAAAAAUGCAAAUGGUUUAGCCAGGAUCUUUCCUGUCUGAUUCGUCACUAUUAUUAUAUCUGAUGAUGCGAAUGGUUGGAGCGAUUCAAUCCUAAGUCAUUAAUGAGCUAUUUUAUAAACACCACUGUCUGAAGAUCUUCAUUUACAUUUUGCUAAGGAUCACUUCGCUAACCUCACAGGCUUGUGUCAACAGCAUGAUUUGCAGGACUUCAGUUACACUCUUAUAAACAACACGGCUGUAUUGUUAAUCGGUUAAUAUUUUAUAAAGUGUAAAUAUUUUAUUAUGUUUUGAAGGGAACUAUUGAUUCUAAAUUAUUAAACCCCUGAGAAGGACUAUUUAAAUGAAAUAUACAAUUAAGUACAAUUAAAUGUACAUUGUGGUUAGUUUGUUUUCAGAUUCUGCACCCUUUUAAAUUCAUUGCUUUUCUCUUUACUGGAGUUUCCUCUUGUCCAUUUCUGAUACUGAAAAAAAUCUAUCAUGUUAGGAAAAAGCCUAAAUUAUUUAAAGUUGCAUUAAACUUAGAGGAAAAUGUCAAAUACGAUUAAUUAUGACCAGAAAUGUAUUUUGGAUGUUUGUAGAGUUGUAUUUCAUAUCACAUUUUACAAAUUUCUUCCGAUUUAAAGGAGAGUUCUAGGAAGUUUUGUGAUCUAUGUCCGGUGUGGGUUUUUGUCCUCUCGAGUUUUGUCUCUAAUAAAGGCCUUUUUUGUUUCAAAUUACAUACGCUUUUUACUGCACAAUUUUUGUAUUGACCUUAUUUCAACUGAAGCGAUUAUUUCCAGCAGGUUUAAUUUCGACAAUAAGAUAUAUUUUAAUAGUUUUACCUUUCGCUAGAAUUUUGUAUUGUUUAAAACAGUAAAUGAAUAAAUUUGCUGAUGAUUCAAGA
rnacentral:lncRNA from 1 species